rnacentral:rRNA from 1 species
UAGAUCUGCGUAGCCGUAGGGAAACCGAAUAGUCCGCAGCCGCAAGGCGAGGGACUGGGUGUGCUCGCCCGGAGUCAAUGGUGGGAGACCUGAAGCCCGUCGAUCUAUGCCUGACCAGAUUGAAGCCCGACGAAAGUUGGGUGGAGGAUCAAACCGUUGCUGAUGUGCAAAUCGCUCGGACGAGUUUGGUAUAGGGGUGAAAGUCCAAUCGAGAUGGGCAAUAGCAGGUUCCGCGCGAGACUACUCGUAGGUAGAUCUCUGUGAAGGUAGAAUGCGAUGUAGAGCACUGAUUGUAUGUUUAGGGGGAGCAAUCCCUCGGCACGCUGUCAAACUCCGAAGUUGUGUUCGCCGUAGAAGCAGGGAGUGAGCCACGGUGGGUAAGCUACCGUGACGAAAGGUGAAUAAACCAGCUCAGCGUUAAGGUCCCAAAAUUUCAGUUAAGUGUUAAUCACAAACGGCGUCCGUGGCCGAAGACAACCAGAAGGUGGGCUUAGAAGCAGCCAUCCUUGAAAGAGUUCGUAACAGAUCACUGGUCAAGCUUGCGGGCCCGUAAAAUGGACGGGGCUCAAACUGAAUACCGAUACGCUGACCCUCCGCAAGGAGAUGGGGUAGCGCGGCGAUGUGCUCGGGCAGAAGCGAGGUCGUAAGGUCUCGUGGACCGUGUACAUAUGAGAAUCCAGGGAAGAGUAGCAGCAUAGUGUGGUGAGAAUCCGCACCACCGAAGGGGUAAGGGUUCCUCGGCAAUGUUUUUCAGCCGAGGGUUAGCCGGUCCUAAGGGCAUUCUUAACCGAAAUGUCCGAAUGGGAAAUGCGUUAAUAUUCGUAUGCCCCUCUACAAAAUAUGGUGACGGCUCGGGCUAGUUCGUGCAUUCCUGUCAUGGGAUGUCGAAGCGUUCGAUAACCGAUCGGAGAACCGUCAUGGUGAGAAGAUCGGGAAGGCGUGAGCAAAAGACGAAUGAUGCCUGGGUCCCAUGAAAAGCCGUAGAGGUGACCGUACCUAGAACUGACACAGGUACCCAAGGUGAGUAGCCUAAGGUGUGACGGGCAAAGUACCGCGAAGGAACUCGGCAAAAUCGCUCUGUAACUUCGGGAGAAGGAGUGCCAGCUUAGAGAUAAGCUGGUCGCAGUGACCAGAGGACUCCGACUGUUUAAUAAAAACAUAGGCGACUGCUAGAUCGAAAGGUUGUGUAUAGUCGCUGAAUCCUGCUCAGUGCUGGUAUCUGAAAUCGGGUUACAACCUGACGAAGGACCAGUAAACAGCGGGGGUAACUAUGACCCUCUUAAGGUAGCGUAAUACCUUGUCGCUUAAUUGGCGACUUGCAUGAAUGGCACAACGAGAGUCCCACUGUCUCCGCGGUACGUCCGGCGAAAUUGACAUUACUGGCGCACAGUCCAGUAACCUCAACCUGCAAGCGAAGACCCCAUAGAGCUUUACUGCAACCUGGCGUUGUACAGUCGCACAUUACGUGCUGAGUAGACGGGAGACGCUGAUCCUCGGGACGCCAGUUCCGAGAGUAGUCAACCAUAGAGACACCGUCCUUAGUGUGUAACUGUACUAACUCUUCAUGAGAACACCGCUUGGUGGGCAGUUUGGGUGGGGCGCCACGCGCUCGAAAAAAUAACAAGCGUGCCCAAAGGUCAGCUUAGGUGGUUCAGUCUCCACCGUGAAAUGUAAGGGUAAAAGCUGGCUUGACGUGGAUCGGCACAAUAACGAUCGACGAUGCGAAAGCAGGGCCUAUCGAACCAAUGUGCCUCAUUUCUGGGGGCCAUUGAUAACAGAAAAGUUACCUCGGGGAUAAUUGAGUUGUCACCAGCAAGAGCACAUAUCGACCUGGUGGCUUGCUACUUCGAUGUCGUCUCUUCCCAACCUCCUGGUGCAGCAGCUGGGAAGGGUGGGGUUGUUCGCCCAUUAAAGGGGAUCGUGAGAUGGGUUUAGACCGGCGUGAGACAGGUUUGUUGCUUUGUGGUUGAGGCGUAUAAGAUGCCUGAUCGGAAGGGCCCUUUAGUACGAGAGGAACGAGGGCUCGGGGCCACUAGUUUACCAGUUGUCCGGCAGGGCAAUGCUGG